UUUCUCUCAUUUUUCUUUAAUCUUCUCUCACCUCACUAGGAUUUAACGGUACAAGAUUGAUCUUUUGAUCAUGAUACAUAAAAGAGUACUUAUUGGAGUACCCGUCAUGAUUGGCUUUUCUAUCAAAUUGCCAAGGCCUACCUAAUAACAAAUGACUAGCUUCCAUUUGUACUACAUCACACAACACUACAUCCUCAUAUUUUCUAAUUUUAAAACAAAUCUCAACUUGUUUAUUAACAAGCAUUUCUACACUUUCAUUAAGCCAUUGGAGUUUGUAAGGCUUAGGGUGAGGUUUU
rnacentral:lncRNA from 1 species